rnacentral:lncRNA from 10 species
CGCACAUACACACACACACACUCUUAUACUCUUUCACACACACCUCAUGCACACACUCACAUAUACUCCCAUUCACACACACCACAUACAUUCUCACACACCACAUACAUUCACACACACACCCCACACACUCACAUUCACACACACCAACACACACAUUCACACACACCAACACACUCACAUUCACACACACACCAACACACACAUUCACACACAUCACACACUCACAUUCACACACACCAACACACACAUUCACACACACCACACUCACAUUCACACACAACACACACAUUCACACCCACCAACACACACAUUCAUUCACACACACCAACACACACUCACAUUCACACACACCAACACACACAUUCACAUACACACACCAACACACACUCACAUUCACACACACACCAACACACAUUCACAUACACACACCAACACACUCACAUUCACACACACCAUACACACGCACCAACACACAUUCACACACACCACCACACACAUUCACACACACACCAACAUACACUCACAUUCACACACACCAACACACACACACACACACCACCACACACAUUCACACACACACCCCACCUGCUUAAAAUCCUCCAAAGGCUUCUCAUUAUGCAAAAACCUUCUGACUGGCCUGCAAAG